UACCUGGUUGAUCCUACCAGUAGUCAUAUGUUUCUCUCAAAGAUUAAUCCAUUCAUGUUUAAGUAUUAACUAAUUCAGAUUGUGAAACUGCGGUUGGCUCAUUAAAUCAGUUAUAGUUUCUUUGAUGGUACCCUACUACUUGGAUAACCAUAGUAAUUCUAGAGCUAAUAUGUGCACCAAGUCCCGACUCUUUGGAAGGGAU
rnacentral:ncRNA from 1 species